CCUACGGGAGGCAGCAGUGAGGAAUAUUGGUCAAUGGGCGCGAGCCUGAACCAGCCAAGUAGCGUGAAGGAUGACUGCCCUACGUGUUGUAAACUUCUUUUAUAAGGGAAUAAAGUGAGGCACGUGUGCCUUUUUGUGUGUACUUUAUGAAUAAGGAUCGGCUAACUCCGUGCCAGCAGCCGCGGUAAUACGGAGGAUCCGAGCGUUCUCCGGAUUUAUUGGGUUUAAAGGGAGCGUAGAUGGGUUGUUAAGUCAGUUGUGAAAGGUUGCGGCUCAACCGGAAAAUUGCAAUUGAUACUGGGAGGCUUGAGUACAGGAGAGGUAGGCGGAAUUCGUGGUGUAGCGGUGAAAUGCUUAGAUAUCACGAAGAACUCCGAUUGCGAAGGCAGCUUACUAAACUGCCACUGACAUUGAUGCUCGAAAGUGUGGGUAGCAAACAGGAUUAGAUACCCCAGUAGUC
rnacentral:rRNA from 1 species